UUUCGAUGAAGCCCGUGAUGC
rnacentral:misc_RNA from 1 species